rnacentral:rRNA from 1 species
UACAGAGGUCUCAAGCGUUGUUCGGAUUCAUUGGGCGUAAAGGGUGCGUAGGUGGCGAGGCAAGUCAGAUGUGAAAUCCCGGGGCUCAACCCCGGAACUGCAUUUGAAACUGCCUUGCUCGAGUACUGGAGAGGAGACUGGAAUUUACGGUGUAGCAGUGAAAUGCGUAGAUAUCGUAAGGAAGACCAGUGGCGAAGGCGAGUCUCUGGACAGUUACUGACACUGAGGCACGAAGGCCAGGGAGCAAACGGG